rnacentral:rRNA from 1 species
GACGAACGCUGGCGGCGUGCCUAAUACAUGCAAGUAGGACGCACAGUUUAUACCGUAGCUUGCUACACCAUAGACUGUGAGUUGCGAACGGGUGAGUAACGCGUAGGUAACCUGCCUAUUAGAGGGGGAUAACUAUUGGAAACGAUAGCUAAUACCGCAUAACAGUAUGUAACACAUGUUAGAUGCUUGAAAGAUGCAAUUGCAUCGCUAGUAGAUGGACCUGCGUUGUAUUAGCUAGUAGGUAGGGUAAUGGCCUACCUAGGCGACGAUACAUAGCCGACCUGAGAGGGUGAUCGGCCACACUGGGACUGAGACACGGCCCAGACUCCUACGGGAGGCAGCAGUAGGGAAUCUUCGGCAAUGGGGGGAACCCUGACCGAGCAACGCCGCGUGAACGAAGAAGGCUUUCGAGUCGUAAAGUUCUUUUAUAUGGGAAGAUAAUGACGGUACCAUAAGAAAAAGCCCCGGCUAACUACGUGCCAGCAGCCGCGGUAAUACGUAGGGGGCUAGCGUUGUCCGGAUUUAUUGGGCGUAAAGCGAGCGCAGGCGGUUCCUUAAGUCUGAUGUGAAAGCCCUCGGCUCAACCGGGGAGGGUCAUUGGAAACUGGGGAACUUGAGUGCAGAAGAGGAGAGUGGAAUUCCAUGUGUAGCGGUGAAAUGCGUAGAUAUAUGGAGGAACACCAGUGGCGAAGGCGACUCUCUGGUCUGUAACUGACGCUGAGGCUCGAAAGCGUGGGUAGCAAACAGG